CUCCAGGUGCUUCCUCUGAGCCAUUUCUUCUGCAUCCCCCUUGGCCCGACUCUCUUCUUCGGGAAGGGUAUCCUCUUUGUCUAGGAUCUGGUCUUCCCCAUCAGCUUGAGUAGGCUCUUUUUUAUCUCCGCCAUCUUUGGCUACUACAAGGCUGUAAGACUUCUGCUUCUUAAGCCAUGGGGGUAUGAAGCGAGAGAUGCCCCUGUUCUCAGAUGGAUCCUUCCCUCGCUUCCGCCGGUGGGGACUGCUUUGGCUUUCAGCUGUAGGGCCUGGCUGGGAGGCUUUCCCUUCGUCCAGCUCAGACGCUGCAGUCUGCUCAUUCUCUACUACUUCUUUAGCUUUCUCCUUGUGGGCAUCUGCUCCCGAUGGGUCAGAGCCCUUCUUCACUUCAGAUGCAGAGGCAACUUCAGUAGUCAUGGUUACAGCUUACACUGCAACAAAAUAGAAA
rnacentral:lncRNA from 1 species